rnacentral:rRNA from 1 species
GAUGAACGCUGGCGGCGUGCCUAAUACAUGCAAGUCGAGCGAACGGACGAGAAGCUUGCUUUUCUGAUGUUAGCGGCGGACGGGUGAGUAACACGUGGAUAACCUACCUAUAAGACUGGGAUAACUUCGGGAAACCGGAGCUAAUACCGGAUAAUAUUUUGAACCGCAUGGUUCAAAAGUGAAAGACGGUCUUGCUGUCACUUAUAGAUGGAUCCGCGCUGCAUUAGCUAGUUGGUAAGGUAACGGCUUACCAAGGCAACGAUGCAUAGCCGACCUGAGAGGGUGAUCGGCCACACUGGAACUGAGACACGGUCCAGACUCCUACGGGAGGCAGCAGUAGGGAAUCUUCCGCAAUGGGCGAAAGCCUGACGGAGAAACGCCGCGUGAGUGAUGAAGGUCUUCGGAUCGUAAAACUCUGUUAUUAGGGAAGAACAUAUGUGUAAGUAACUGUGCACAUCUUGACGGUACCUAAUCAGAAAGCCACGGCUAACUACGUG